CACAACACACAGAGAAAUAUAUUGAAGUUCCAACUCAAAUUCUUAAUCAAAUGUCCAUGAGGGAAGAACCUAAUUUGUCUAUAUACGGACAAUUUGAUAAAGGGGAUUGAGGUGCACGGAGAAGAAAUUGAAAAAUAACUUGUCCUUUGAGGAAAACACUUUAAUUCUGUGACAAUUUGAUGAAGGGGAUUGAGGUGCACAGAGAAGAAAUUGAAAAAUAACUUGUCCUUUGAGGAAAACACUUUGAUUUUGUGUUAGAAUACAAUUGAAUCAUUCAAAGGGUGUGGUGAAACAAUUUGUUCGAAGUCAAGAUGAAGAUGCACAAAAAAGAACACUUAAUUUAGAAAUAGAGUUAUAAAUGAU